GAAUGUAAUGGGACAGAGAGAUGCCGUAAUAACAUGUUUUGUUUCCAUGGUGAAAAUGAACAGGUUAUUGAUGUGAAUGUAAUGGGACAGAGGGAUGCCGUAGUAACAUGUUUUGUUUCCAUGGUGAAUAUGAACAGGUUAUUGAUGUGAAUGUAAUGGGACAGAGAGAUGCCAUAGCAACAUGUUUCCAUGAACCUGCAGGUUGAUGUGAGGAGGUUAAACGUGUCUCUUCUAAAGCGGUUCAGAGAGGGGGUAGCUGCUGCUCUGGACAUCUCCCCCAGACACCUCCACAUCAACAGACUCAAUGUAAGACACACACACACACACACACACACACACACACACACACACACACACACACACACACACACACACACACACACACACACACACACACACACACACACACACACACACACACAUUCAACACCCUUUACUGACAAUAGACAUUGAUAAGGAUGACUUUAAACUAGUUUCCACUGAAUACAG
rnacentral:lncRNA from 1 species